UACGGGGGGUGCGAGCGUUAAUCGGAAUAACUGGGCGUAAAGGGCACGCAGGCGGACUUUUAAGUGAGGUGUGAAAUCCCCGGGCUUAACCUGGGAAUUGCAUUUCAUACUGGGAGUCUAGAGUACUUUCGGGAGGGGUAGAAUUCCACGUGUAGCGGUGAAAUGCGUAGAGAUGUGGAGGAAUACCGAAGUCGAAGGCAGCCCCUUGGGAAUGUACUGACGCUCAUGUGCGAAAGCGUGGGGAGCAACUAGG
rnacentral:rRNA from 1 species